rnacentral:rRNA from 1 species
UACGGAGGGUGCGAGCGUUGUCCGGAAUCACUGGGCGUAAAGGGCGCGUAGGCGGCGUGGUAAGUCACUUGUGAAAUCUCCGAGCUUAACUCGGAACUGCCAAGUGAUACUGCUGUGCUAGAGUGCAGAAGGGGCAACCGGAAUUCUUGGUGUAGCGGUGAAAUGCGUAGAUAUCAAGAGGAACACCUGAGGUGAAGACGGGUUGCUGGGCUGACACUGACGCUGAGGCGCGAAAGCUAGGGUAGCAAACGGG